rfam:Beta vulgaris subsp. vulgaris Bvchr2.sca001.con0056.1, whole genome shotgun sequence.
UAAGGAGGAAUCCAAAGGGAUCGCAUUGAUCCUUCUUGCUAAAGUUCGUUUGGAUCAUGCAAUCCCUUUGGAUUUAUCCUU